rnacentral:rRNA from 1 species
ACGCUCGACACCUACGGGAGGCAGCAGUGGGGAAUAUUGGGCAAUGGGCGCAAGCCUGACCCAGCAACGCCGCGUGAAGGAAGAAGGCUUUCGGGUUGUAAACUUCUUUUGUCAGGGAAGAGCAGAAGACGGUACCUGACGAAUAAGCCACGGCUAACUACGUACCAGCAGCCGCGGUAAUCUGAGCGGGCUGGCAAGGC